UACGUGGGGUGCGAGCGUUAAUCGGAAUUACUGGGCGUAAAGCGUGCGCAGGCGGUUUUGUAAGCCAGAUGUGAAAUCCCCGGGCUUAACCUGGGAAUGGCAUUUGGGACUGCAAGGCUUGAGUGCGGCAGAGGAGACUGGAAUUCCUGGUGUAGCAGUGAAAUGCGUAGAUAUCAGGAGGAACACCGAUGGCGAAGGCAGGUCUCUGGGCUGACACUGACGUCG
rnacentral:rRNA from 1 species